AGUGAACGCUGGCGGUAGGCCUAACACAUGCAAGUCGAACGGCAGCACAGUAAGAGCUUGCUCUUACGGGUGGCGAGUGGCGGACGGGUGAGGAAUACAUCGGAAUCUACUUUUUCGUGGGGGAAAACGUAGGGAAACUUACGCUAAUACCGCAUACGACCUACGGGUGAAAGCAGGGGAUCUUCGGACCUUGCGCGAUUGAAUGAGCCGAUGUCGGAUUAGCUAGUUGGCGGGGUAAAGGCCCACCAAGGCGACGAUCCGUAGCUGGUCUGAGAGGAUGAUCAGCCACACUGGAACUGAGACACGGUCCAGACUCCUACGGGAGGCAGCAGUGGGGAAUAUUGGACAAUGGGCGCAAGCCUGAUCCAGCCAUACCGCGUGGGUGAAGAAGGCCUUCGGGUUGUAAAGCCCUUUUGUUGGGAAAGAAAAGCAGCAGGUUAAAACCCCGCUGUUCUGACGGUACCCAAAGAAUAAGCACCGGCUAACUUCGUG
rnacentral:rRNA from 1 species